rnacentral:misc_RNA from 1 species
GAUGAAGAACGCAGUGAAAUGCGAUACGUAAUGUGAAUUGCAAAUUCAGUGAAUCAUCGAAUCUUUGAACGCACAUUGCGCCCGCUAGUAUUCUGGCGGGCAUGCCUGUCCGAGCGUCAUUUCAACCCUCAAGCCCCCGGGCUUGGUGUUGGGGAUCGGCGAGCCUCCGCGCCCGCCGUCCCCUAAAUCUAGUGGCGGUCUCGCUGUAGCUUCCUCUGCGUAGUAGCACACCUCGCACUGGGAAACAGCGCGGCCACGCCGUUAAACCCCCAACUUCUGAACGUUUGACCUCGGAUCAGGUAGGAAUACCCGCUGAACUUAAGCAUAUCAAUAAGCGGAGGA